AUGGGUUUUCGCGAUCUGGAACUCUUCAACCUGGCACUUCUUGGUAAACAUGGUUGGAGGUUCAUCACUAACCCCGACUCGUUAUGCGCACGAGUCAUGAAGGGACGCUACUUCCCUGACUGUGAUUUUAUGGAGGCCACCAGACUGAAAACUUCUUCUGCCAUUUGGCGUGCGAUUAUGGCUGGCAGGGAGGCGCUUCGUGAGGGGCUGAUCAAGAGGGUUGGGGACGGGUCAACUAUAUCUAUUUGGCAUGAUAGGUGGAUUCCGGGCCUCCCAAAUUUGGCUCCAAUGGUAGUUCCGGAUGGUACUACCCUCGCAAUGGUGGAUCAGCUGAUUGAUAUGGAAAACUGGACAUGGAGGCGGGAUUUGAUCCGGUCUGUGUAUGCUGCACCCGAUGCUGAUGCCAUUUUAAAUAUCCCAUUGCGUGUGGGCGGUGGUGAUGAUUUUCUAGCUUGGGCUCAUGAACGAAGUGGAAUCUAUUAUGUUAAAUCU
rnacentral:rRNA from 1 species